rnacentral:misc_RNA from 1 species
GAUGGAGGACGUGAGCAUGGGAAUGUGGGUAGAACAAUUCAACAGUUCCAGGCCCGUAGAGUAUGUGCAUAGCUUGAAGUUCUGUCAGUUUGGGUGCAUUGAUGAUUAUUACACUGCACAUUAUCAAUCUCCAAGGCAAAUGAUCUGCCUGUGGAGAAAGUUGCUGAACCAAGGGAAACCUCAGUGCUGUAAUGUGAGAUGACAAGGCAUACCCUGUCAGCUAGUGUUAGGC